GAUUAUGGCUCAGGAUGAACGCUGGCGGCGUGCUUAACACAUGCAAGUUGUGCGGUGAUCUCAAGAAGUUUCGGACGGAAAGGGAGAGCAGCAGCGGACGGGUGAGUAAAGCACAAGGACUUGUCCCGAAGAGGGGGACAACUGUGGGAAACCACAGCUAAUACCCCAUAAGCCGAGAGGUGAAAGCAGUAAUGCGCUUUAGGAGAGACUUGUGUCCUAUCAGGUAGUUGGUGAGGUAACGGCUCACCAAGCCGAAGACGGGUAGCCGGACUGAGAGGUUGUACGGCCACAUUGGAACUGAGAGACGGUCCAGACUCCUACGGGAGGCAGCAGUGGGGAAUAUUGGGCAAUGGGGGGCCAACCCUGACCCAGCGACGCCGCGUGAGGGAAGACAGCCUUCGGGUUGUAAACCUCUGUUGCAGGGGAAGAAGAAAGUGACGGUACCCUGCGAGGAAGCUCCGGCAAACUACGUGCCAGCCGCCGC
rnacentral:rRNA from 1 species